ensembl:lncRNA
CUCCUCCCUCCCGGUUUGUGCUCUUUGCUUCCUCUACCAGACCCUUUCCCCGCCGCUGCUGCCUGGGAUCCAGCUGACCUUGGGCUGUAACCGAGAGCCAAGAUAAACCUGGCCUCCGAUGGAAGAUAACACAUCGAACCAAGAGAAAAGACGCUCAACACAGGAACAGCAGAGGCUUUCUGCUUCCCUGAAGGACAUGAAUCAUGUUUGUGACUCAUUUUUAUGGAAGAGUUCUUGAAAGAUCAAUGUGUAAAUAGCUACUUCUUAAUGACAAGCAUGAAAAUUAUGAAUAUUAAUUGGAUGAAACUAGAUUUUUUUUGGU